GGCGCCGCCCGCCUCCCCGAGGAGCCCCAUCCCGGCGCCCGCCCCCGGCCCGGUGCCGGUGCCGCCCCCGUCCUGGUGCCAGCAGGGCAGUCAUUCGAGGACACGCGCGAGACAGUGCAGAGACGUUUAAUAACAAUAAAAAGGCCUGCUGAGAGCCCAGGCUCAGAACCACCCCGCCGCCGCACACCCAGCACAGAAAAGGUUGCUGUAAAGUUACCAUGUUUUAGUAAGAAGCAGUAGAAAGAGUUGAGGCCCCUGAGACUAGCCCGGCGGACCAGGAAGGCAUGACCGCCGCCAAGGACGGGUGAGGCAUCCUCCGGAGGCCCAGGCCGGAGGCGGCCACAGCAGUGCAGGGGGCUCCCGCCGGGACCCAGGGCUAAGCGCGUCACCCCGGGAGCACGCUCCGGGCCCCGGGCCGGCCCCUGAGUAAGACUUCUGCCGUCCGCAAAGUGCCAAGUGUUCCUGUCCACAGCCCCAGGUUACGUGAUCUUCCUCCGCUUUGUGCGUUUGGCGCAGCCCCUGCCAAACCAGCCACCUAGGACAGGGGCCGAGCUCAGGGCCGCACCCCGGUCCCCAGGCGGAGGGUCCUCUCGGCUUCUGCACAGCGACUUCCGACUGUGGCUACCUUCUUCACCCGCACGCAGGGGAGUGGCCAGGGUGAAGAUGGGGUCCUGCCACCUACCGGAAAGGGAAAGCUGGGUCAGGUGUGCCUGGGGGCCUCAGCACAACCUGCCCCAGGGCGGGAAAGCUGACUGAGGUCGCCCUGCUCCCCUCCCGAUCUUAACUGUGGCCAGCCUUGGCUUAGCGGCAGCUCCACUGUUCCUGAGCUACAGAACAGCGCCAAGAGGAGUAAGCUCCCAGGAACUCAAAGGUCAGCGCUCACACUACUAGCUCAGCCUCUGCAGAACUGUGUCCGUGCUGGCGAUGGAGCAGGCCGUGCACACCCAGGGUGGGGCAGGAGUAGCCCCAAGAGGGACGGAUCACUAGCAGCUCUGGGUCCCACCUUUCACUUGUAUGGCCAGGGGCAGGUGGACCAGACCCUCUCCCUCUUCCCAGGCUGCAAGACCUGAUGGUGGGGGGCUGGGGGGUGGGGAGGCCAGCUAACUAGGGAGGCGUGGCCUAUAAACUACACCAUGAAGAGAUCAUGUGUCUGAGAUGCAGAACCACAUAUUAUAAACUUAAGAUACAGAUAAGCACUGAUAAAGAAAAUGAGCUAAGUUAAUGUAAAAAAAAAAAAAAAAAGUACGGUACACAAUAGGCCCACAUUACAGAACACCACAAACAUAACAUACAAGAAUUGCCAGGCCCAGAAGGUGAAGGGAUCCUUAAUUCUUGAACCCUUUGAUUAAAAGAAGUUAUUGAUUUCCCCUAUAAGACCCUGAAAAUUCACAGAGAAAGAAAGUGUAAACUUUUUGCUCAAUACAUACACCAUGUCUAAAUUA